rnacentral:lncRNA from 1 species
GAAAUAACCAUUGUCUGUAGGUCUGACAGCAAGAAAUAGAGAUAGAAGAGCUUCAUUUGAAGUUUUGAACUGUUUACCUUAAAAAUAUUAAUGGUGAAUGCUUAUCAAUCAUGUCUGUGUGUCAGGCACUGUUCUAAGUGCUUUAUGUUCAUUAACCAUUUGCAGUAAAUACUGUUUUCCUUCCCACAAAACAAGUGAGGAAAGAGAGGCUUAGAGAGGGGAAGUCAGUGGCCCCAAAUCCUGCAGUUGAUAAGUGAUGGACUUAACCAGGAUUUAACCCUCGGCAGUCUGAUCCCCGAGCUCCGAGUGCUAAUCGUUCACCCUCUCCCUCCUCCCACCCUCCAACCUCAAAGAGACCCCAGUGUGUGUGGCUCCCCCUACGCGUCAGGAACAUAGGGCCAUUCAAGCAGCCUUUAGGUUAUAGAGAUGAUUUACAGUCACAUGGAAGGAGAGUUUUGCUUAAAACUGGUAGAAGAAAUAGGUAAAGUAAGUGGGAAAUGAGGUAAGCUUGCUAGCUACACAAAUCAUCUUCACAACUCGAAGCUCAAAUACCCUCAGUGUUCAGCUGGUGUGUCUUCACUAUUUGAUGUGCAGUAAAUAUUCUCGCUUCUUUUUCACUAUAAGAGCAACGUCAUUUUCAGUGUCCACAAGCUGGAUUCACGUAGAUCCCCCAAAUCCUUAAACAUCUGUGACCGUUGGUGUAUAAACGGUCGAAGCAUUUGAUCAACUUCCUAAAAAAAAAGUGAAAAAAAUUAUAGUGAUAGAUUUCAUGUCAUCAGUAAAAAAUGUGUGUGUAUGAGUGGGGUGUAGAAAACUGCUUUUGAAAGCUGCUAGCAGAGGCAGUAAGUCACCUAGGAGCAGUUUUGUUUCGGAUGACCCUAAGUUACUGCCAGUAGGGAAAACUGGUGAGAUAAGUCAAAUAUUUUCCACUGGAAUGUUACUUCCUUAGUGUUUUAAUACUGUCGAAGGAGUAUUAAAGGAGUCUUGAGGGGCCAGUGGGUGUAGGGGCUCUCCCAUUGGUAGGGUUUUGCCGAUGCUUCCCCUAACCUGUGGAGGCAAGUACCCCUGAGAACUAGGGAUGCCCUGGGGCAGAGUCCUGGAGACAAGUGUUGGAGGAGAUGGUACCGCACUGGCUGAAAAUGGGAACGGCAGAGAGCAGGUAGUGUGACGUGAUGGAGGAGAUGGUACCGCACUCACUGAAAAUGGGAACAGCAGAGAGCAGGUAGUGUGACGUGAUGGAGGAGAUGGUACCGCACUCACUGAAAAUGGGAACAGCAGAGAGUGGCACUGGGAUUCAGUUUCUAUUUCCCUGAGUAUUAGUGAAAUGCCUGUUCAAAUCCUUUGCCGAUUUUUUUCGAAUGUGCUUUCCAACAUAUUAUCUUUUUUUAAAUCUUAAAAGUAAUAGUUUAUUCUGAAUACUAAUGCUUGCUAAAUAAUAUUAAUAUAUUUUCCAGGCUGUGGUUUAUUUGAAACUUUGUUUAAGGUGUCUUUCAUUUAACCAGUUAUUCUUUUUUAUUGUGAGCUACGUAGAACAGAAAAGUACCCUAAAUAUAUUGACAGGCCUAAAGUGAACACACCUGCUCUAGAGAGCCCACUGCCUGGAACUCCUCCUGUCACCUUCUUCCUGUCCCAGAAGCAACUGCCAGCCUGACUUGUGUGGUCACCAUUUUCUUGCCUUUCUCAAUAGUUUUGCCACCUAGAGUAUAUCCCUAAACAGUAUAUUUUGCCCUCUUUGAAUGUUUAUAGAAUCAUGUUGGAUGUCAUCUUUCGUAACUUGGUUUCCAUCACUAUUGGAAGACUCUUCUUGUUGCCUGUGGCUGUUGUUCACUUUCAUGGCAAUGUAGUGUUACACAGCAUAGAGGGGCCAAAAUUUACCCGUCUUCGGUGAACAUGUAUUAGGGAUGUUUCCAGUUUGGGGCUACUAUGGAAGAGGGUUUUAUGAACAGCAGUGCACAUCAACUAAGAUUUCUGUAGUGUUUUUCAACUGGCCCCUCAUCUGAACCACAGAACGGAAGUGAUUUGAAUAACUGUUUUCUCAGUUCUUUCAAGAAUGGUGUGUAACUAGUGCCAUCCUAGACACAUAUGACAGAGUUAGCUUAUUUCGUAUGUCAGAUGCCUCAGUGCAGUAGGUUCUCAAACUUGAAGGCAGAAUCAUGGAGAGGGUUUGUUGAAACACGUGUUACUAGGCCUCACACCCAGAGAUUCUGAUUCAGUAGGUCUGGGGUGGGGCCCUGGAUUUUGCAUUUCUGACAAGUUCCUAGAUGCUGCUGAAGCUGCUAGGCCAUAGGGCACACUUCGAGAAUCUCUGCCUGAGGCAUUAGGGCUUUAACUCUGCAGAACCAGUUCAGCUGUGAAGGAAGGAAGAGUUGAAUUGCAGGCUUCUAGGUUCUAGUAUCUUCAACUUUUAAUAAGUAAAUGCCAAAUAAUUUUUAAAUGGUUGUACCAAUUUAUACUCCUCUCAGCCAUACAUGAGAGUUUCUGUUACUUCAUAUCUUCACCAAAACUUGAUAUUGUCAAGCUUUUUAAUUUUUGCCAGUAUGGAAGGUUAAUAAUGGUAUCUCAUUGUGGUAUCAGUUAGUAUUUCCCAAACUAUUAAUGCGAGUGUGUGUGUGUGUGUGUGUGUGUCAUGCAUAAGAAAUCCUUUUCCACUGUGAGGUCGUAAAGACAGUCUCCUAAAGUAUCUUCUGAAAGCAUUUGAGGCAGGGCAUGGUGGCUUAUGCCUGUAAUUCCAGCACUUUGGGAGGCUGAGGCGGGAGGAUUGCUUGAAGCUAGGAGUUCGAGACCAGCCUGGGCAACAUAACAAGAACCCCAUCUCUAUUUUUAAAAUAUUUAAAUAAAUAAAUAAAAGCAUUAGGGUUGUGCCUUCCACAUUUAGCUCUUUAAUUCUCACCUGAAAUUGAUUUCUGGGGUAGUUUUAGAUAGGAAUCCAGUUUCAUUUGUCCCCAUACAUAUUCCUAAUUCCCCAGCACUGUUUAUUGAAAAGUCCAUCCUUGCCACAUUGAUUUGCAGUUCCACUCGGUUGUAUAUCAAGUCUGUAGUCCUGAAUAAAUCUGUUUCUGAGCCUUCUGUUCUUUUUCUUUGGUUAUUUAUCUAUCUUUGGGCCAACACCUUACCUUACUGCCUCUGUUACAGAGGCAUUAAAAUGAAGUGUUGAUAUCAGGUAGGGCAAGUCUUUCUGUCUUGUUCUUGGGUCUGGUCUCAUCUUGGCUAGUUUUUGCUUUUGCAAUUCCAUACAAAUUGUAGAAUUAUCUUGUUAGGUUCUAUUACACUUGAUUGGAAUUACAAUGACUCUUGGGGAAGAGUUGACAGAUGUACAAUAACAAAUCUUCCAAACCACGGAGAGAUGGCAGUUUCUCUAUCUAUUUAUAUCCUUUUAAACAUCUCUCAAAUAAGUUUUAAAAUUUUCUCCGUACAACUCUUACAUAUUUUAUGUCAGCUAUAGGCCUAAGUAUUCCAUAUAUUUGAUGCAAUUAUCAAUGGUGUCUUUUAUUUUAAAAAUAAUUUUCUGCUUGCUGCUGUUAUAUUCAAAUACAGUUAAUUUUUAAAUCUUGAUUUUUGUAUCUAGCAACUUUGUAAUUCAUUUACAAAUUCUUGGGGAUUUUCUGUCUAUACAAGCAGGUCAUCUGGGAUGAUACUAGAGGCAGCGCAGUAUAGACUGGGGAACAGCACCGGCAGGGUCUGGACCUCAGCGCUGCCACAGAUGAGUCAUGUGUCUUUAGACACGUUCCAUGAACUGUAAAAUAAGGUGAAUAAUAGUACCUGCCUCAUAGGGUUGCUGUGAGAAUUGAGACAGUAAAUGUAAAGCAGGUUGUAAGUGUUACAUAAGUGUAUGCUAUUAUUGUAAUUACUUUUCUUUCCUUUCCAGUCAUACUUUGUAUUUCUUUUCCUUACUGCACUGGCUAGAACCUAAAGGACAGAGGUCAAGAAAGCUGGCAUCCCUGACCUCCUGAUCUGAAAAGAAAAGCUUUCAGUCAUUCAUCACUAAGCAUUUUGUCCACUGUGUGUUUGUCUUAAGAUUGCCUUUAUCAGAUUAAGGAAUGUCCAUUUUAUUCCUAGUUUGCCGAGAAUUUUUAUUGUCAUAGGAUGUUUAAUUUGGCCACAUCUUUUUCUGCAUCUGUUGAAGUAAUCAAAUUAUUUUAUCUUAUAAUCUCUUAAUAUGAUGAAUUACAUUGGGUUUUAUAAUGAUAAACCAAACAGGGUAGUCUGUAUAUUGCAUUGUAAAGUGAGUGGGUAUCAGUCGUGCAGUGACCGUGGUAGCGUGGAGCCAGCCGGAUGUGCACUCAAAUAAAAAGGUCAGAGCAGAGACGGACGGCGGCCUGAGAGGGCAGCAGAUUCGCGCUAACAGAGCAGGUCAAGCAGGGCCUCCUCGCCUUGCUCUUCCGCUUCAGCAUAUACGUCUCCAAGCUCAGGAAAUGCAGUUACAUCAAAUGUCUAAAUUGGAUGGAAAGAAAUUCUGUGUGCUCCCAGGAUUCCAGUUCCUUACCGGAGGUUGGUGCCGUCUGAGUCUGAAAAGCUGCCCUCUUGCCGUGUUCAUGCUUUGGUAGAACACCUUCAGAGCCUUGGCAAGCUCUCGGUCAGAGCCGGCUUGCUGUGUGCACAUUUGGCUCAUCUCCCCGGCGGAUGGCAGUUGCGCAGUCAUCCCGCUGAUCUUCAGAGUGUUGGAAGGCUUCGGGGCUGAGGUGGAAAAAGGUAACAUUGAUUUAUGUAUCUCUUUCUCUGGGCAUCUCUAUAUUUAUUUUGGUGGCAUUCUACUGCAUCAGCAUUUAUCAGGCACCAGUUUGGAUCCAUCCAAGGGAAAGGGGAAAUCUCACAGGGCAGAAGAAAUGUCCGGCAUUUUUUGUUUAUGAAAGAAGAUACGAAUUAACUCAUUUAAAAGUUUGUUUCUUAAAAGACAAAUACACAUCCCAAAUGUAGGAGUCUAGGGAUAAGCUAAACAGCCAAGACUGGAGCAGUCUCUCACCUUGACCAGAAGCAGUUUUCGCAAGUGAUGCUUUGAGAAGCACGUUCUCCUCUCUCAGGGCUCUGUUAAUGUUCCUGAGCGGUUCCGUCUCCUGCUCUAGCUUGAGCAGCUUCAGAUAAAGUUCUGGUAUCUGGUUUGAUGCUGCCUACCAGAAAACAUGUCAGUUUCGUCUUUUGUUGUAUCAUCUGCAUAUCCUUUGAGACUGGCAAUGUUUGCUACCAUGGGAAAAUCAAAUGGGAUGGGAGUGUGUGUAUGGUGAGCAGAGUUUAAGCCCCUCAGGGUACACAGGAGUAAAUAAAGAAAACGUUUGUUAAGGGGGAAGGAACGUCAAGCAGCCGUCCUCAGAGAUUUUCUAGCCACCUGGGAUGCCCACUUUAGUGUCCUAUGUACACACCUGGCUUAUAUCCUUCACAGUGGAAAUUUUCUUGGUGUCUACCAGGAUGUGGCCUUCACCUGUGACCAUGAGGCCCAGCUGAGAGCAGCUCAGCUCGGUGCAGCCUUCUGUAAUGGGGAGAGACACAGUCAAAGAAAGAAACAUCCCAGUCGCCCAGCUCCAGUGUCAGUGUCCUGUUGGGGAGCAGGGUGCUAUGCAGGUAUGCAGCACCGCCUCCUCCAGCCCAUCACAGUUCAGAAACUCCACUUGCUCCUCCAGCUUCAUGCAGUAGGCCAGCGACUGGAGCCAGAUGUGAGCUGAGCCCAAGCGGACGACCUCGACAGGAUCCCAGAAAGGGUCGUCAUCUCGAGCCACAGGGCCGUGAUCUCCAUCUAGAAAGCGCUGGUAAAGUUCCUGCAUUAGGAAUUUCCUAUUGAUGAACUUGGCUUUUGACCAUAUCCACACCUGGAAACACAGAGGUAGGUCACCAGUAUUUGAUUCAUCUGCUGCUCUCACAAUUCAUCACUCUGAUUUUCCCAGCAUGCUCCCUUCAUUGACUGGGUUUGCGGUACGCAUGACCACAUCCCACUUUCUCCACACCUAGCUUUGCUGACAUCAAGAAUAUCGUAUUAAUUCCUGGACCUGUUACUUCCCCAUUGCUUGAGCCUAGGAAACGAUUUAGAGGAGAUGAUGAAGGGGUUAGAAAACAGAUCCUCUCAGGGGAGAAGGUUUGGGGCUUAUGGUGUCAGAAUGGUCCUCAAAGAUGCCCAUGUGCUAAUCCCCAGAACCUGUGAAUAUAUUACUUUGCAUGGCAAACGGAAAUUAAGGUUUGUCAUCAACUGACCUUAAAAUACGGAGAUUAGCCUGGAGUAUCCAGGUGGCCCCAAUGAACUCAGGACUCUGAAAACAGAUUCCAUCUUUGUUGGCCUCAAAGUGAAGAACCGUAGUGCUCUCCUAGAGGCGGCACCACCAUUAAAUAAGAAUGUGGGGGGGCGGGCGCGGUGGCUCACGGCUGUAAUCCCAGCACUGUGGGAGGCCGAGGCGGGCGGAUCACGAGGUCAGGAGAUCGAGACCAGCCUGGCUAACAGUGAAACCCCGUCUCUACCAAAAAUACAAAAAAUUAGCCGGGAGUGCUGGCGGGCACCUGUAGUCCCAGCUACUUGGGAGGCUGAGGCAGGAGAACGCUUUAACCCAGGAGAUGGAGCUUGCAGGGAGCCAAGAUCGCGCCACUGCACUCCAGCCUGGGUGACAGAGCAAGACUCCAUCUCAAAAAAAAAAAAAAUAUGGGGGCAGCAGGGAACAACAGGAGUUCUAGUCAUUGUGGUUUUUCUGUUUGUGUUUUUCUUUUCUUUUUAAGACAUGUGAUCUUGCUGUGUCACCCAGGCUGGAAUGCAGUGGCUCAAUCUUAGCUCACUGCAGCCUUGAACUCCUGGGCUCAGGCGGGCCUCCUGCUUCAGCCUCUGAGUAGCUGGACUGCAGGCGUGCGCCUGCACCGGCUUAUUCUGUUUUUUUCUUAAAGACUUUAGGGAACUAAGAUCAUGGGAAUCUAAAUAAUAAAUGAAUUCACUGCCUCAUUACCUCUGGAUAUCAGACCACAGGCCUGGUGUCAGUUAAAAUUGCAUGUCAUCCUUGGCCUGAGGAGGAAACAGGUCGGCGAGGCUCCAGGAUAGGCUGCGAGCCCAUGCUGACUCCCGCCUGCUCCCGGGUGGGCUCUGCAGGCCUGGCUCAGAGUUCCCUGGCAGGAUGUGCUGCUCACCAGAGCCAACAGCUGUUGGGUGAAUACUGCUGAAAGGUAACCGCAAGCUGGCAGCAUUUCCAGGUCAAAAAACCCUCCCCAACCCUCACACAGCCCUGGUUUGCUCGUGAGCUUGUCUAUGAUAUGUGACUCCCAACAGCUGCACAACACUGCGUCCUCCCUG